AGGACGACGCUGGCGGCGUGCCUAAUACAUGCAAGUCGAACGGUCUUUCUAUGGAAGCUUGCUUCCACUGAGAAGAUAGUGGCGAACGGGUGAGUAACACGUGGGUAACCUGCCCAUAAGAGGGGGAUAACAUCCGGAAACGGGUGCUAAUACCGCAUAGUUUUCUUGAUCGCAUGAUUGAGAAAGGAAAGACGGCCUUUGUGCUGUCGCUUAUGGAUGGACCCGCGGCGUAUUAGUUAGUUGGUGAGGUAACGGCUCACCAAGACGAUGAUACGUAGCCGACCUGAGAGGGUGAUCGGCCACAUUGGGACUGAGACACGGCCCAAACUCCUACGGGAGGCAGCAGUAGGGAAUCUUCCGCAAUGGACGAAAGUCUGACGGAGCAACGCCGCGUGAGUGAAAGAAGGUUUUCGGAUCGUAAAACUCUGUUGUCAGAGAAGAACAAGUUGGAGAGUAACUGCUCCAGCCUUGACGGUAUCUGACCAGAAAGCCACGGCUAACUACGUGCCAGCCGCCGC
rnacentral:rRNA from 1 species